UGGAUCCAGACUUUGAUUCUGGCUCAGGAUGAACGCUAGCUACAGGCUUAACACAUGCAAGUCGAGGGGAAACGAUAUUGGAAGCUUGCUUCCGAUAGGCGUCGACCGGCGCACGGGUGAGUAACGCGUAUCCAACCUGCCCACCACUUGGGGAUAACCUUGCGAAAGUAAGACUAAUACCCAAUGAUAUCUCUAGAAGACAUCUGAAAGAGAUUAAAGAUUUAUCGGUGAUGGAUGGGGAUGCGUCUGAUUAGCUUGUUGGCGGGGUAACGGCCCACCAAGGCGACGAUCAGUAGGGGUUCUGAGAGGAAGGUCCCCCACAUUGGAACUGAGACACGGUCCAAACUCCUACGGGAGGCAGCAGUGAGGAAUAUUGGUCAAUGGGCGAGAGCCUGAACCAGCCAAGUAGCGUGCAGGAUGACGGCCCUAUGGGUUGUAAACUGCUUUUAUAAGGGAAUAAAGUGAGUCUCGUGAGACUUUUUGCAUGUACCUUAUGAAUAAGGACCGGCUAAUUCCGUGCCAGCAGCCGCGGUAAUACGGAAGGUCCGGGCGUUAUCCGGAUUUAUUGGGUUUAAAGGGAGCGUAGGCCGGAGAUUAAGCGUGUUGUGAAAUGUAGAUGCUCAACAUCUGCACUGCAGCGCGAACUGGUUUCCUUGAGUACGCACAAAGUGGGCGGAAUUCGUGGUGUAGCGGUGAAAUGCUAGAUAUCACGAAGAACUCCGAUUGCGAAGGCAGCUCACUGGAGCGCAACUGACGCUGAAGCUCGAAAGUGCGGGUAUCGAACAGGAUUAGAUACCCUGGUAGUCCGCACGGUAAACGAUGGAUGCCCGCUGUUGGUCUGAAUAGGUCAGCGGCCAAGCGAAAGCAUUAAGCAUCCCACCUGGGGAGUACGCCGGCAACGGUGCAACUCAAAGGAAUUGACGGA
rnacentral:rRNA from 1 species